rnacentral:misc_RNA from 1 species
UUUCCGUAGGUGAACCUGCGGAAGGAUCAUUACUGAGUUAGUGCCCUCUGGGUCCAACCUCCCACCCGUGUUUAUUGUCCCUUGUUCCUUCGGUGAGCCACCCUCGCGGCCAGCGGGGGGCAACUUUCCACGUGCCCGCGCUCGCCUAAGACAGCCUUGCACUCUGGCUGAAGUUUUCAGUCUGACCGAAAACUAAAUAAGUUAAAACUUUCAACAACGGAUCUCUUGGUUCCG